UACCUCGAACUUUUACCUCAGGAAAUACUCUUAUUCUACUCUGCCUCAAUUGAGUCAAAAGAAUCCACUUGGAUUUAAAUCAGACUAGUGAUUCCCUACGUUACCACAAAUUUUUACCUCAAAAAUCACGUCUUCUUUGACCAGAUCUCAACUAUGUAUAGAGGCUCCACUUGCCCCUCAACUCAAAUUACUUAUUCCUUACAUUUACCACUGACGUUUACCUCAGGAAUCACAAAGUGUGCCUUUUCCUUCCUACUAGUCUCCUACCGCUACCAGUACGGUUACCUCAGAGACUAGUCUUAUCUAGGGUUGUCAGUUUUCAAGUGAUCUCCUACAAAUUACCCUUUUUGUUUUUACCUCACAGAUCACUCCUCUGAACCUAACAUCUAGACUUUAAACUGUAGGUUUUCCUUUCUUUCAGUUUAAACCUACUACUGGGUAUCUGGUAUUUCCACUCAGACCCCUUAACUUCGGCACACCUCCGUCUACCACAUUUUUUGGAUCCCAGUGCUGCACACCAAAUUAUGUAAUGUUUUCCCACCACCUCACAAUUCUUUCCUUCUUUGUGAUCCAAUACCCCUGUGGGUUUUUAAAGGAUCAAAGUGAACAGCAAUGUGGGCAAAUGAAGUCAAGGAUACAGAGGGCUGAAAAAUAAGAAACGGUGUGGUAAGAAGGCCUUUUUCACCAAGUUAGCAAAAGGACACCAAACACUAUGUUCUUUUCUAGGGAGAAGAUGCACAGUGCUGAUCCAGCACCUCAGCUACCACUGCAGCACACAAUUGACUUUUGCAAUAGUGUUGCAGAUCAUCUCGUUGCAGAAAGAGGGCUGCUUCCACAAGACACAAUUGCCAUUGACAGAUCAGGUCUGAUGGAUUGUCCCUAAAAAAAAUCCCUCAAGGUUAUAAGAAAACUAUGCCCAGCUGCAUGCAGAAAUGGGAAGGCCUUGUUGGAUUUUAGCUUCAGGUAUCUUGUGGAUUGUUGUUGUUGUUCACUACUGUCAAGUCAAAUUGGACUUACGAAUGGGAGACCUCCCAGUGACCCUGGUCUCAACUGCCUUGCUCAUGUCUUGCAGACUCAAAGCUGUUGCCUCUUUGCUUUAUUCUAUCCACUUGUAUGAGAUCUAUUUAGUGAGGCCACACCUCUGCGACUAUAAAAGUAAAUACAAGUUACUGUUAUACUACAAAAGAAGUGACAUUUUUUGCCUUUUAUAGUUAUCAACAUAACAUAGCUUAGUUAUGCCUUUUCUGUUGGAGAAAUUAAUUAAAUGUAGCUUCUUAUUUGUAAUUAAUUAUUUCAAAACUCUGGGAGAUAAAGGUCAAUUGUGUGCAUUACAACUGAAAAAAAUAAUUCCUGACUAUCUCAAGUCCCACACUCCCAUAAGGCCAUUAAAGACAUGACCUAAAAUUAUCUAGGUGCCUUUCAUGAACACGGUAAUACCUGCCUGCCCCCCCCCCCCCAGCUGAUAUUCAGAGGCAGAAUGGCUGAUAUUGUACAUAACAUACGGCUAUCAUAAAUAGGCUUAUCCUCAAGAAGGCCAUCCUCAAUAAAUUUGUCCACUCCUCCUUUAAAGCCAACCAGGAUGAAGAACAUCACUACAUCUUGUGGCUGCAGAUUUUGUGGUUUAACCACAAGGGUGUGUCUAUGAGAAAGUUUGUUUCUAUGAGCUGGACACUUGCAUGUCAUCUUGAAUGUCAGGAACUAAAGAUGUUUCUGUUCCAGUGUCUUCAAAAUAUAUUUCCCCCUUUGUUUUGCCCUAUGAUGGUACACUGGUAUGCACAUUUUUAUACUGAACAAGGGUACACCAAUGCAGCUGUUUGGGUAGUGUACUGAUUAUACAAGCAAUUUAAAUACAGUUAGGAACACAGGAGGCUUUGGUCUAUCUAGCAUGUUGUUGUUAGUUGCCCUUGGUUUGACCUUGACUCAUGAUGGCUCUGUAGAUAACACAUCUCCAGGCCCCCUAUCCUCCAUUGCUUUGCUUGCAGAUUUUUAAGGCAGUUUUUUUUGCCCAAGAUCACAGAGUGGAACAAAGAAACUGUUACAGUAAUGCCACAUCACUAAUUGUAACAUUAUAUAAACUUGAGGCUAGCCAUCCAGUUUUUUUAAAAAUAGAUGUAAAGUUUUAUAAAUCAAAAAGUAUAAAUAUUCAAUGAAACAAUUAGUCUGUCUAUUCCCAAAUUCAUAUUUUGCACUGAUUGAUGAUUGUCCAAAAACAUUUCUGUAUGUUCUUAAGCCACCAUUAAUACAAUGUACUUGGAGAUGAGAUGUAGCCUGGUAGAAGAGAGGGAAUGGAACUAACAAAGCUUCAUAUUUAGUCUUCCUUUUCUGGAAUUCCAAAUUCAGAAAUAUUGCAAAACCCAAAAUGUUUGUAUGGGUGACUGAGGCCCGGGACAGACAGUCCCGAAGUGGUGUGCUACCGCUGCCGAUUCUAGAGUUAGGGACCUCACACCAACUGCAUGAUCCCUAAUCCUAGCACGGCACAGUGGCAGCCUAAUAGCGGUGUCCUGUCCACACAUCUUUACAUAAGCAACAUGCAGCAUAUAGACAUUGCUGUGCGUCGCUUACGUCACGAGUG